GAUGAACGCUGGCGGCGUGCCUAAUACAUGCAAGUCGAGCGAACAGACGAGGAGCUUGCUCCUCUGACGUUAGCGGCGGACGGGUGAGUAACACGUGGAUAACCUACCUAUAAGACUGGGAUAACUUCGGGAAACCGGAUCUAAUACCGGAUAAUAUAUUGAACCGCAUGGUUCAAUAGUGAAAGACGGUUUUGCUGUCACUUAUAGAUGGAUCCGCGCCGCAUUAGCUAGUUGGUAAGGUAACGGCUUACCAAGGCAACGAUGCGUAGCCGACCUGGGAGGGUGAUCGGGCAAACUGGAACUGAGACACGGGCCAGACUCCUAAGGGAGGCAGCAGUAGGGAAUCUUCCGCAAUGGGCGAAAGCCUGACGGAGCAACGGCGCGUGAGUGAUGAAGGUCUUCGGAUCGUAAAACUCUGUUAUUAGGGAAGAACAAAUGGGUAAGUAACUAUGCACGGCUUGACGGUACCUAAUCAGAAAGCCACGGCUAACUACGUG
rnacentral:rRNA from 1 species